GUGCUCGCUUCAGCAGCACAUACAGUAAAAUUGGAAUGACUUGGAGAAGAUUAGCAUGGCCCCUAAGCAAGGAUAACUCGCAAAUUCAUGAAAUGUUCCAUAUUUUU